UACCCUAACGAGUUAAUAUGGGCUGUAAUGCAUUAAGGAGACGGGGAAACUCUGGAGAGAGGACAAGGGGAAGCAGAGAGCAAGCCUGCAAACCUCAGUCUCCCUAGGACUUCUCCUGCCACUGCUGCCUCCAGGCCCUUGGCUCUGCACCAUGUCCAAGAGCCUCACAUUAGCUCUCCAAGGCACCUCACAUUGGGCCUCUGUCGGAGCUCGUUCUCAAACUGGCUAGUUGGCUGCUGACUUGGGCGUGGACUCUCAGCUCCCAAAUCAUGCCUGUUUCUUGACACCUACACUGCUUGGGAGAACAGGUAUUGCAAAUCAAACGGAAGGCUUGUACUUUUCAGAGACUUUGUACUAUACUCUCUUAAAGAGUUGUACCAGAUAUAAUUUACUGUAGCUAAUACCAGAAAUUUUUCUUAAUUGGUGGUCAAAUACAGUCCAUGUACAUAAAGGUCAUAAUGCCAGUUAUGAAGAUUAAACUACCUCUUUGCUGGGGUUCUUCAGACUCAGGCUUUUUCACAGAGCAAUUUAACUUCUUGAUUUAUGGAUGAACAGAUCCAUCUCUUUCUCGUGCACUAAAUGCCUAUUUUGAGAACUAGCAGCUCUUUGCAGUCUGGGCCUAAGCCCCGCUGUGCUCAGGUGAGGGUUUCCAUUACUUGCCUUUCAGUAUCUGGAGCUAACAGCUGAGCCUAGCAGAGGCGAGUUCCUAGCAAGAUAUGGAAAGGAUGUCCAGGCAGAUCCUCAGCUGGAAUUCAUGGCCCUCGAUUCAUCAGAAAUCCAGUUCGGAUACAGGCCUGCCAUGUUCAAUCUAUGAAAACUAUUUGCGGUGACUAAAGCCAUCCGGAGCAUGGUUGUUGCCAACUGGGAUUUCCAGCAGUCUGCUUAUGACUUUCAUCCACUUAAUUCCUCAGAAGGUUUUUUUCAGGCUUUCUUUGUGGCUG